rnacentral:rRNA from 1 species
CCUACGGGAGGCAGCAGUGAGGAAUAUUGGACAAUGGGCGCAAGCCUGAUCCAGCCAUGCCGCGUGCAGGAAGAAGCAUCUAUGGUGUGUAAACUGCUUUUGUACAGGAAGAAACACUCCCUCGUGAGGGAGCUUGACGGUACUGUAAGAAUAAGGACCGGCUAACUCCGUGCCAGCAGCCGCGGUAAUACGGAGGGUCCGAGCGUUAUCCGGAAUCAUUGGGUUUAAAGGUCCGUAGGCGGUUUAAUAAGUCAGUGGUGAAAUCUGGUCGCUCAACGAUCAAACGGCCAUUGAUACUGUUAGACUUGAAUUAUAAGGAAGUAACUAGAAUAUGUAGUGUAGCGGUGAAAUGCUUAGAUAUUACAUGGAAUACCAACUGCGAAGGCAGGUUACUACUUAUGGAUUGACGCUGAUGGACGAAAGCGUGGGGAGCGAACAGGAUUAGAUACCCUGGUAGUCCACGCCGUAAACGAUGGAUACUAGCUGUUCGGAGCAAUCUGAGUGNGUAGAGAAGUAGAUAGUAUACCACCGUAGGAGUACGUCGCGAGAAGAGAACGACGAAGAAGUAGACGCGUGAGACGAGACGACGACGACGACGAGGGAGGAGG